rnacentral:tRNA from 1 species
GUUAAAUUAGUUUAAAUAAAAACGGUAAGUUGUGGGCUUAAGAAUAAUUAUCUUAUUUGACA